rnacentral:rRNA from 1 species
UGGGGAAUAUUGCACAAUGGGCGCAAGCCUGAUGCAGCCAUGCCGCGUGUAUGAAGAAGGCCUUCGGGUUGUAAAGUACUUUCAGCGGGGAGGAAGGGAGUAAAGUUAAUACCUUUGCUCAUUGACGUUACCCGCAGAAGAAGCACCGGCUAACUCCGUGCCAGCAGCCGCGGUAAUACGGAGGGUGCAAGCGUUAAUCGGAAUUACUGGGCGUAAAGCGCACGCAGGCGGUCUGUCAAGUCGGAUGUGAAAUCCCCGGGCUCAACCUGGGAACUGCAUUCGAAACUGGCAGGCUAGAGUCUUGUAGAGGGGGGUAGAAUUCCAGGUGUAGCGGUGAAAUGCGUGGAGAUCUGGAGGAAUACCGGUGGCGAAGGCGGCCCCCUGGACAAAGACUGACGCUCAGGUGCGAAAGCGUGGGGAGCAAACAGG